UGACGGUACCUGGAGAAAAAGCAACGGCUAACUACGUGCCAGCAGCCGCGGUAAUACGUAGGUUGCAAGCGUUGUCCGGAUUUACUGGGCGUAAAGGGCGUGUAGGCGGAGCUGCAAGUCAGAUGUGAAAUCCCGGGGCUCAACCCCGGAACUGCAUUUGAAACUGUAGCCCUUGAGUAUCGGAGAGGCAAGCGGAAUUCCUAGUGUAGCGGUGAAAUGCGUAGAUAUUAGGAAGAACACCGGAGGCGAAGGCGGCUUUCUGGACUGAAACUGACGCUCAGGCACGAAAGCGUGGGGAGCAAACAGGAUUAGAUACCCUG
rnacentral:rRNA from 1 species